rnacentral:rRNA from 1 species
UACGUAGGGGGCAAGCGUUGUCCGGAUUUAUUGGGCGUAAAGAGCGUGUAGGCGGCUAGAUAGGUCCGUUGUGAAAACUCGAGGCUCAACCUCGAGACGUCGAUGGAAACCAUCUGGCUAGAGUCCGGAAGAGGAGAGUGGAAUUCCUGGUGUAGCGGUGAAAUGCGCAGAUAUCAGGAAGAACACCCGUGGCGAAGGCGGCGUCCUGGACCAACACUGACACUGAGGCGCGAAAGCUAGGGGAGCAAACGGG